GAGCAUUGAUCUAAGAGGCACAACAAGAUAGUUAUAUGAUGAAUGAUAAUUCCAAUACCUAAUAGACACCAGGCGUGUGGCGCCUCCAAUACCUAUUUAGAUCAUUGGACUCAGUAUCACGCACCUUAAUGAAAGGCUAUGAAUAAGUUAUCUCCAUAACUGUAUCAUUUUAAGAAUCUAAUAAUUUAAAAAAUUUAAUUUAUUGAUUUAAGAAUAAGAGAAAAAAUUGACCUGCAAGUCAUAAAUCCUCCCAUUGACU
rnacentral:lncRNA from 1 species